rnacentral:rRNA from 1 species
CCUACGGGUGGCAGCAGUGAGGAAUAUUGGUCAAUGGUCGAGAGGCUGAACCAGCCAAGUCGCGUGAGGGAAGAAGGCCCUACGGGUUGUAAACCUCUUUUGUCGGGGAGCAAAGCGAGUCACGUGUGCCCCAUUGAGAGUACCCGAAGAAAAAGCAUCGGCUAACUCCGUGCCAGCAGCCGCGGUAAUACGGGGGAUGCAAGCGUUAUCCGGAUUUAUUGGGUUUAAAGGGUGCGUAGGCGGUGAGGUAAGUCAGCGGUGAAAUCCCCCCGCUCAACGGGGUGAAGUGCCAUUGAUACUGGCUUGCUGGAAUGCGGAUGCCGUGGGAGGAAUGUGUGGUGUAGCGGUGAAAUGCAUAGAUAUCACACAGAACACCGAUUGCGAAGGCAGCUCACGAAUCCGCGAUUGACGCUGAUGCACGAAAGCGUGGGUAUCAAACAGGAUUAGAUACCCGGGUAGUC